rnacentral:rRNA from 1 species
UACGAGUGCCCCGAGCGUUAUCCGGAAUUAUUGGGCGUAAAGGGUGUGUAGGUGGUUAUGUUAGUCGUUUGUUAAAACCUGGGGCUUAACCCCAGAUCUGCGAACGAAACGGCAUAACUAGAGGAUGGCAGAGAUGUAUGGAACUCAUGGAGUAGGGGUGAAAUCCGUUGAUAUCAUGGGGAACACCAAAAGCGAAGGCAGUACAUUGGGCCACUCCUGACACUGAAACACGAAAGCGUGGGUAGCGAAUGGG